GUCAAUACCUUAAAGCAGAAAUAAAUCGUCUUUCUCUCUCUCUUUCAGUACUUUCUCCCACCGAACCCAGAGAAAUAUUCUCUAAUCUCUCCUAGUUCCUCAUUUCUCUAACAUGGAUCUGAUUCAUUAAAUUACAUAGAGAGAGAGAUGGCAUGGCGUUCAGCGGGAUCUCUAUCGAGGUCGUUACUAUCAACAACAAGAGCUUCUUCCGUUCGGUCUUCACCAACACUGACUCGCCUUCGUCCGUCAUAGCCACCUACAUCUCCCCCUCGGACUCGUCGUUUCUCCUUUGUUAAUCCAAGGACAUUGGGAGAACUCGGAUGCACACAGUCAAUACUACCUCCGGUUGCUGCAUGUCAUUUCUCACCGCAUCUGUCACGUAAUGCUCGAGCUUUCUGCGGGGUAUUUCAGGUUUGAUUAUAGGAAAUGGAAAAGAUGGCUGGUACGGGACUUCAAAUGCUGCAUCAGUGGAUAAAGGAUGCACCCAGUUUUCAUGCUGGAGUAUCUAUAGGCGGUGAGAUGUCUGGCGUAGUUCCAAACGUGACAGUGGCAAGCGUUGUUGUUGUGUGAGGCUAAAGACGAGCCAUGAGGAUCAAGACCGACGCACGGGUAUCCUUUCAAACAUCACAGUCGACAAUGUGCAUCCUGAUGCAGGGUAUGAUCCCAAAGCAUAUCCUAUUUUCAGUAACAUAAAUUUCAUCAAUAUACAUGGCCAGGGAGUACCUGUGUGCCAGUCUGAUAUGGAAGAGGUCAAGGGUUUCUCCAUUAUGCUUGUAACUUAUUUGGGAACACGAUAUCGGUUCAUUCAUUCGUCAGAAUGUGUUUCUGUUUGUGCGCACAUCCCCUCGAUGGGACUAUCAUUGUUGGAACUAAGUGUUAGGAGCUGAUGAUAUCUGCAGUGUGUACCGGAUGAAAUGUAUGCAAUUCAUGCACGUAGGAUAACAAGGACUUCCUUGGUGUUGGUUUCCUUUUUGGAUUUGCGUUUAUGCUGCAUUACUUUUAUUAACUGUACAAGGGAGAGUAUGAAGACAAGUGUAGCCAGAUACUUAAAAGGAUCAACCAGCCACCCAUAAAAAUUUACACUUCACGGUGGAAGUCAUAAAAUUUGCACUUCAUUCUUCUUGUUUUUUGUUGAUUUACUGGUAGUAGGUAUCAUUUUUUUGUUUUAAUUUGAGACAUUGUAUUCCUAUAUUUGCUAUCUCGUUGAUUCAGUUGAAAGCAGACUGACAUGUAUCCAGUUGUGAAACACAGGAUAAUUUUUUUGCUCCUGUUAAUUCACUGUUGUUUUUCAA